rnacentral:tRNA from 1 species
GCCUUCGUGGUGUGACGGUAGCACACUCGGCUCGUAUUCGAGAGGUUCAGGUUCGAGUACUGGCGAGGGCA